rnacentral:rRNA from 1 species
UAGGGAAUCUUCCACAAUGGACGCAAGUCUGAUGGAGCAACGCCGCGUGAGUGAAGAAGGUUUUCGGAUCGUAAAGCUCUGUUGUUGGUGAAGAAGGAUAGAGGCAGUAACUGGUCUUUAUUUGACGGUAAUCAACCAGAAAGUCACGGCUAACUACGUGCCAGCAGCCGCGGUAAUACGUAGGUGGCAAGCGUUGUCCGGAUUUAUUGGGCGUAAAGCGAGCGCAGGCGGAAUGAUAAGUCCGAUGUGAAAGCCCACGGCUCAACCGUGGAACUGCAUCGGAAACUGUCAUUCUUGAGUGCAGAAGAGGAGAGUGGAACUCCAUGUGUAGCGGUGGAAUGCGUAGAUAUAUGGAAGAACACCAGUGGCGAAGGCGGCUCUCUGGUCUGCAACUGACGCUGAGGCUCGAAAGCAUGGGUAGCGAACAGGAUUAGAUACCCUGGUAGUCCAUGCCGUAAACGAUGAGCGCUAGGUGUUGGGGACUUUCCGGUUCUCAGUGCCGCAGCAAACGCAUUAA